rnacentral:pre_miRNA from 1 species
GACUUCAACUGAAAAAGUCAUCAACAACAAAGUUAAAUAACUCAUCAAUAUCUAAAACUUUUAUUUUGGUCAUUUCUUCAUCCGACAAAGCGAUUUGUAACAUUGUUCACAUAAGGUAUAUAUCUCCUAUAUAGUUUAUAAACUAUAAGAGAGAUAUGUAAAUUUUUUGAAUAAUAUUACUAUCAUUUUACCGGAUGAAGAAAUGACCAAAACAAAAGUUAUAGAUAUUGAUGAAUUAUACAACUUUUUGUUGAUGAUAUUUUCAGUUGAAAUC